GAUUGAGUCAAAACAAAAAAAAAAGUUUGUUUUGGUAAUCAGUGAAAAUUUAAUUUUGUGCUUAUUGGCUGAUGUUUGUUGUGAUUUUUUUGAUUGUUUUGGUGCAGGAUCUAUUUCGGAAGAUAUCCGCAAAAGGAUCCGGCAGCAAGUUUGUACUGAUUUGACGUUUGCUGCGGGAAGUCGAAACAUUUGGUUACUACUCGUAAAAGACGAUUCAGUUGAUUCCAGAAACCCGCCGUCGACAGAAUUUCGAUCAGUUUCUGCCUUCUGGAACUUUUUCAACAAAUGAAGCAGGAUUUUAGCCGGUAGCGGACCAUCCAGCAAAUUCAGAAAUCUUAAUUCACAACAUUACAACUUGCGGGGUUUCUUGCUUUGAUCUGCUGGAGCUGCUCUCACAAAAGGAGGACACAUUUAAAACACUGGCCAGGACCUGGUGAAAGUUACCUUACUCGUUGUGUCCGCUGCAGCCUAUCAACCGGGACUCGUCGAGCAUCAGCUGGCAGAUUGAGACUGAUUCCCUCCGACGAGCUGAUCCGGCGCACUCCGAGAGCAUCUUGGUGAACAUCCGCACGGGGAAUAGUUUUAAAAAGCAUCUCGCGAUGGUAAGGAUUGUUUCGGUUCUGCACAUCUGAAUCCAUUACGAAUUUUCGCAAUUAUUUACCGGGAGUGAAGCUGUAAAGUAAUAUAUUUUCACAAUAACAAUAAAAUUCCAAAAAUACAGCGGAAAA